rnacentral:lncRNA from 1 species
UGUCCACUAAUUGUCAACCCUGAAAGUUAUAAAGGUAGGAAAUUUGUGAAGGGUCUUUGUGCCGGUAUCUAUGAUUGGAUUGUGAUGCUGAGACCCAGCUCGUAUCUUGAGGUGUUAGAACAUACCUAGUUGGCUGAAUACCUUAUCUCAGUUAGGCACCAACACAUUGCUUGAGUCUGUACCCAACAAUAACAACACUAACCUGAAUAAUCCAGAAGAAGGCUGUUCGACCCAGUAAGUAGUCAUCCUGAUAAAUUACCCCGAGUUACCCUUUCCUGUGCUCUACAUCCACCUGCUGGACAACCUACCCAACCUUCCCAGCCAUGCCAGCAUUGUGAUCUCUCGCAUGGUGAUCUACCCUGUCAGCAUUUUAAUCAUGCCUACUAUAGGUGUGAAAGCACCCAACACCUUGUGAAGGACUACCCUCAGCGGCCGAAGGACAUGGCCAGACCUAUAGCCUAGGGUCAUGUGUGUCACCUUGAUGAACUCGAUGUCCUCCUCACUUCUGUCUUUAUUCAGGGUAUGUUUUUUAUCCAUGAUAUUUCUGUUAUAGCUUUUAUCGAUACAAGUGCUACCCACUCAUUUAUCUCUUGUGCAUUUGCUUGUAAAUUAAAUAUUAGGCCUAAACAUUUAAGAUAAGUACUAGUUGUAAAAACUCCCUCUAGGGGU